GUGAGGAAUAUUGGUCAAUGGACGAGAGUCUGAACCAGCCAAGUCGCGUGAAGGAAGACGGUUCUAUGAAUUGUAAACUUCUUUUGUGCAGGAAUAAAGUGGGUUACGUGUAACCUUUUGUAUGUACUGUACGAAUAAGGAUCGGCUAACUCCGUGCCAGCAGCCGCGGUAAUACGGAGGAUCCGAGCGUUAUCCGGAUUUAUUGGGUUUAAAGGGUGCGUAGGUGGAUUGAUAAGUGAGCGGUGAAAGUUUGCAGCUUAACUGUAAAAUUGCGGUUGAAACUGUCGGUCUUGAGUGCAAAUGAGGUAGGCGGAAUGUGUUGUGUAGCGGUGAAAUGCUUAGAUAUAACACAGAACUCCGAUUGCGAAGGCAGCUUACUGGGAUGCAACUGACACUGAUGCACGAAAGCGUGGGUAUCAAACAGGAUUAGAUACCCCAGUAGUCC
rnacentral:rRNA from 1 species